UGGUGAUGAGGAGAUACCUACUGUGUUGAAUUAUGGUUAUAUUGCUUAUAUGUUAUUCUGAUCUAGAA
ensembl:snoRNA small nucleolar RNA U54